AGAAAUUGUUUUCCUUCGUACCAACCAGACAUGGAAAAAUUGGAAAACAUUCGUUUUCCUUCAUACCACAUCCUUAGUAACAAGAAAUGCAAGAAAAGGAAAGGGGGUGAUGAAGGUCUGUAGGUCUCACUAGUAUACAAGCCAAGCAAGAGUUUAUUUCAAUCUUGAAACCAAAAGGCUAGAGUACUAGCAAAUACCUGGAACAAUUUUACAUGGUGUUUUGUGAGCUACAUUGUUGGCAUGCACUUUCUCUGUUGAUGAAUGAAACUUUCGUGGUGGUGGUGGUGGUGGUGGUGGUGGAGGAGGCGGCAUCAUCCUAGGAGGUGGCGGUGGCAUCGAACCGUGGUGGUGGUGGUGGUGGAGGAGGCGUCAUCCUAGGAGGUGGCGGUGGCAUCGGACUGGAUAAUGGCUGAACCAACUUUUUUGGAGUCGCUCCAAUGUUGCAUCUAUCACCUGCGUCUAAGAUUUGAUUCUGGCAAACAAAGAGGGGGAUGGAUUCCACCCAUAAAACUUAUCAAUUCCAGGAAAGAAGGGAGGUAAAAGUUUUGAGUUCUCCAAAAACAUACUUGAACACUCUUUAACUUGUAUAGUAGCAAGCAACCUACUAAGUUUAAAAUAAAUGUAUGAUCCUAAGAAUUAUUGAUUUCCACUUGAAUAACUUGCAAAUGUUGGAUAUGCAACUUAACUUUUCUUCUGUCACUUACUACAAGGAGCUUAGAUCAUUAAAGGGCAGCCCGGUGCACUAAGCUCCCGCUAUGUGCGGGGUCCGGAAAGGGCCGGACCACAAAGAUCUAUUGUACGCAACCUUACCCUGCAUUUGUUUCCAUGGCUUGAACCCGUGACCUUCGGGUCACAUGGCAGCAACUUUACCAGUUACGCCAAGGCUCCCCUUCAAAGAGCUUAGAUCGUUAUGUUUGGAAAAUGAAAAUAAUUGCAGAUGCCCAAAACAAAAACAUUUUCUGUUCAGAGUGAAGAAAAAAUUGUUUGAAAGCCUCACAUGCAGAAUGUAAUGUGAUCUGAGUCUUAUCACCCUUUGAAUAGUAGAGGCAAAGUUGGUUAUUGGUUAAGAAUGUGCCUUUCAAAUUAGUUUAUGAACAAUUGACAGAAUGGCAAAACCAAAAGGGGCAUGGUCUCUAUGCAUCGGCACCAUAAAAAAGAACCAAAAUAGCACGCAGCAACCCAUGCCUCCUCCAUGUCCCAGAAUCCUGUGAAACAUACAAAGGUCCAACAGAGUUCCACUAUCAGCCUGUUAGCUUCAUACAAGGUCAGAGAAAUUACCUGGAAUAUCAAGUAGAAAAGGUUAGACCAGAAAUAAAUAUAUGCAUUUAUCUUAAAAUGUUAAAGGAAAUUUGAGGAAUUUCAAAUGCUCAAUUUGGAACAGCAAUGUGAAUAUGCAUUUAUCUGAAAAUGUUAAGGAAAUUUGAGGAAUUUCAAAUGCUCAAUUUGGAACAGCAAUGUGAUACAAAUAUAAAGUGAGAACCAAGGAGAAGUCCCGUUCUUUUUAUCCAAAAAACUUAACAGGAAAAUGUUAUAAAAUAGCCAAAGCAAUUAAGGGAAUGAAUCCAACUAAUAAAUUCCUAAUUCUUGUAAAUGUAAGGGGAUAUAAGGCUCUUUUAAGCUCUUUAAAUUAACUAGCACAUUGGAAUUUUAGAUCCAGAUCAGUAUGUAGCCCAUGGAUUGCUAGUUGCCACAUGUGAGGGCUGAUAGAAACUAAGAUGUUGGGUGAAGGCAAACUAAGUUUAAAAGAGACCCAAAAUAGGAGAAUCUGAUAAAUCCAGAUUUUGCUAAUCAUCAUGCUACACAAGCUGCACAUCCUUUAUUAAUACACCAUUUAUAUAGUGAAGGCAAAGUAAGAACCUAAUCGCAUAAACAGGAUACUACUGCGCAGAAGACCACUCAAGCUGUAAGAAAUAAUUAAGGACAUAACUUAUGAUAUAACGAGGCAGAUAUACAGGCUAUUGCUAUGAUGCCACCGCUUAUGAAAGGUUAGUUUCAGCAUAACUUUGGAGAAACCACAGGAGUUUCGAAAGUAGGUGAAGAAGCACUCAAAACGAGAAAUAGGAAUCAAUAAAACUUCAUGACCUCUCAGCCAUAACCACUAAAGGAAACUUCCUUCUUUUUUUUUUAGUCUAUUGGAAACAACCUCUCUACCUUAAGGUGGGAGUAAGAUACACUACCCUUCCAGACUCCACUUGUGGGAUCUGGGAUUACACUGGGUUUAUUUAUAUAUAUAUAUAAAUCUGCAGCACAAAGUUUGUGUUGGACACCAAAAUAUGGACGUUACAUCAGCGAAAAGCCAAAAACCUUCAAUCUCUAUUCUUCUUACGAGUCUAAAACUUCUAGAAUCAGGGUCAUCUAUAUAUUCAGAGGUAGAUCCAAGAUUUUGGGAAGAUGAGUUCACCAUUACGACAAGGUUGGAUCCAAGAUAUAAUUUUUUUUUUAAUAAUGGUAACAAAUCCAAGAUAUAAAUUUUACGGGUUUAACCUUUAGUUCUUACUAUUACACCCAUUAGCUUUUGGAAUUACAAGUUCAAAAUUAAUUUUUCUAAAAAUAGUAAUAGUGACACUAUUCAUAUAUCAUCUAUCUUUUUUUUUUAAUCAUAUUCAUCUAAGUAUCAUUUUAGCCCUCACCCAAAAGAAAGGCCAUUGCAGCAGAACUUUUUGCACUGCCAGUGCCCCAUUGCAUACUUCAAUGAGCAGAAAGCGAUAACAGACGAACCCCUGAAUAUUCCAGUCUAGAUUCCUUUGCCAGAAAUUAUAACUAGAACUGCUUUCAGUGUGGUUUUCCUCACCAUUUAUAAUUUUCUCAUCAAAAAACAGUUAAAGGCAAUUGCCUGGAGAUACCUUAGUAUUGGUCAAGGAGAUUUAGCACAUACCUGGUUUACAGUUGCUUGGCCCUUUCCAGCAGCCGGC
rnacentral:lncRNA from 1 species